CUGGCAAGAGGCGACCACCCACAGGUGCCACUGGCACUGCUGGCAGCGCUUUGCGCAGGGGAUGCACUGCCAAUCUCGGGGGGUGCAUGUGCACCUGCGUGCACCCCCUAUGUGUCACCAAUGGACAUUGAUGAGAGUGAGAGCAAUG